rnacentral:rRNA from 1 species
GACGAACGCUGGCGGCGUGCCUAACACAUGCAAGUCGAACGCGUCUGUGCUUCGGUACAGAUGAGUGGCGAACGGGUGAGUAACGCGUGAGUAACUCCCCUUGGGGAGGGGGAUAACCAUCUGAAAAGGUGGCUAAUACCCCAUAUUCUCUUUUCUCAUAAGAGGAAGGAGGAAAGGUGGCGCAAGCUGCCACCCCGAGAGAGGCUCGCGUCCCAUCAGCUAGUUGGUAGGGUAAUGGCCUACCAAGGCUAUGACGGGUAGCUGGUCUGAGAGGAUGGUCAGCCACACUGGGACUGAGACACGGCCCAGACUCCUACGGGAGGCAGCAGUGAGGAAUCUUGGGCAAUGGGCGAAAGCCUGACCCAGCGACGCCGCGUGGAGGAAGAAGGCCUUCGGGUCGUAAACUCCUGUUUGGGAGAAGAACAAGAGAGAAGUUAAUAGCUUCUCUCUCUGACGGUAUCCCCGGAGAAAGCUCCGGCUAAUUACGUGCCAGCAGCCGAC